rnacentral:rRNA from 1 species
UUGAUCCUGGCUCAGGAUGAACGCUGGCGGCGUGCUUAACACAUGCAAGUCGAAUGUAGUUUACUACAUGGCGGACGGGUGAGUAACGCGUGAGCAAUCUGCCCAUAUCUGGGGGAUAACAGUUGGAAACGACUGAUAAUACCGCAUAACAUGGUUUGAAGGCAUCUUCUUUCCAUCAAAUAUUUAUCGGAUAUGGAUGAGCUCGCGUCUGAUUAGCUUGUUGGUGAGGUAACGGCUCACCAAGGCGACGAUCAGUAGCCGACCUGAGAGGGUGAUCGGCCACAUUGGAACUGAGACACGGUCCAAACUCCUACGGGAGGCAGCAGUGGGGAAUAUUGGGCAAUGGAAGAAACUCUGACCCAGCAACGCCGCGUGAAUGAUGAAGGUCUUCGGAUUGUAAAGUUCUUUUCUAAGGGAAGAUGAAAGUGACGGUACCUUAGGAAUAAGCCUCGGCUAACUACGUGCCAGCAGCCGCGGUAAUACGUAGGAGGCAAGCGUUAUCCGGAAUGACUGGGCGUAAAGGGUGCGUAGGUGGUUUGACAAGUUGGUAGCGUAACUCCGAGGCUUAACCUCGGCACUACUACCAAAACUGUUGGACUCGAGUGCAAGAGGGGCAAAUGGAAUUCCUAGUGGAGCGGGUGGAAUGCGUAUAUAUUAGGAGGAACACCAGUGGCGAAAGCAAUUUUGCUGGACUGUAACUGACACUGAGGCACGAAAGCGUGGGGGAGCAAACAGGAUUAGAUACCCUGGUAGUCCACGCUGUAAACGAUGAAUACUAGGUGUAGGGGGUAUCGAUUCCCUCUGUGCCGCCGCUAACGCAUUAAGUAUUCCGCCUGGGGACUACGGCCGCAAGGUUGAAACUCAAAGAAAUUGACGGGGACCCGCACAAGCAGCGGAGCAUGUGGUUUAAUUCGACGCAACGCGAAAAACCUUACCAGGCCUUGACAUCGAGUGAAAGUCCAAGAGAUUGGACCCUCCUUCGGGACACGAAGACAGGUGCUGCAUGGUUGUCGUCAGCUCGUGUCGUGAGAUGUUAGGUUAAGUCCUGCAACGAGCGCAACCCUCAUAUGUAGUUGCCAUCAUUAAGUUGGGCACUCUGCAUAGACUGCCGUGGUCAACACGGAGGAAGGUGGGGAUGACGUCAGAUCAUCACGGCCCUUACGGCCUGGGCUACACACGUGCUACAAUGGCUAUUACAAAGAGUUGCAAUACAGUAAUGUGGAGCGAAUCUCAAAAAGAUAGUCUCAGUUCGGACUGUGGGCUGCAACCCGCCCACACGAAGUCGGAGUUGCUAGUAAUCCCGAAUCAGCAUGUCGGGGUGAAUGCGUUCCCGGGUCUUGCACUCACCGCCCGUCA